GCAUAUCAAUAAGCGGAGGAAAAGAAACCAACAGGGAUUGCCCUAGUAACGGCGAGUGAAGCGGCAACAGCUCAAAUUUGAAAUCUGGCUCUCUUUGGGGGUCCGAGUUGUAAUUUGCAGAGGAUGCUUUGGCAUUGGCGGCGGUCUAAGUUCCUUGGAACAAGACAUCACAGAGGGUGAGAAUCCCGUACGUGGUCGCCUGCCUUUGCCGUGUAAAGCUCCUUCGACGAGUCGAGUUGUUUGGGAAUGCAGCUCUAAAUGGGAGGUAAAUUUCUUCUAAAGCUAAAUACUGGCCAGAGACCGAUAGCGCACAAGUAGAGUGAUCGAAAGAUGAAAAGUACUUUGGAAAGAGAGUCAAAAAGCACGUGAAAUUGUUGAAAGGGAAGCGCUUGCAGCCAGACUUGCCCGCAGUUGCUCACCUAGGCUUUGGCCUGGGGCACUCUUCUGCGGGCAGGCCAGCAUCAGUUUGGGCGGUUGGAUAAAGGCCUCUGUCACGUAUCUCCCUUCGGGGUGACCUUAUAGGGGAGGCGCAAUGCAACCAGCCCGGACUGAGGUCCGCGCAUCUGCUAGGAUGCUGGCGUAAUGGCUGUAAGCGGCCCGUCUUGAAACACGGACCAAGGAGUCUAACAUCUAUGCGAGUGUUUGGGUGUCAAGCCCGAGCGCGCAAUGAAAGUGAACGGAGGUGGGAACCCUUUGGGUGCACCAUCGACCGAUCCUGAUGUCUUCGGAUGGAUUUGAGUAAGAGCAUAGCUGUUGGGACCCGAAAGAUGGUGAACUAUGCUUGAAUAGGGUGAAGCCAGAGGAAACUCUGGUGGAGGCUCGCAGCGGUUCUGACGUGCAAAUCGAUCGUCAAAUUUGGGCAUAGGGGCGAAAGACUA
rnacentral:rRNA from 1 species